ACUCAUACCUUGCAGGGGAAAUACCAUGUCAUAAAAGUGGUUUUCCCAGGGGGAGACUCAUCCAUUGCUCUUCAGGUAUGUUGCUGAUUCCUGUGAUUUCCCCAAAUGUGGGGAACUCAACUGCAUAAUUUGUGUUAAUUGGAUAUUGCACUUGUGAUUUCUCUGG
rnacentral:snRNA from 1 species